rnacentral:rRNA from 1 species
AUGACUCGGUGGCCAAGGCGGAGGAGGCGGGUUGCAGGGGGAAACAGAGCCGGCAAGGGAGCUCAUGGCAGAGCCGCCGACGCGGUGGAGGACAUAAGGCGGGACAUAGCCGCGGCGGCCGUGAGAGCGGUAGGGCGGAGGAGACGGCCGAGGAAGGGUCCGGGUGCGCGGUGGUGGAAGCGUAGCUGUGGCGCAGGGGAGCUGCUGUGGACGCGAAGGACAGCAGUGGUGUUCGUGGUCGAGCGUAGCGGCGACAAAGGAAACGCAGGGACGCGGCCUCGGGCACCAGACGAGGUGCGUGCGGCUCUCAGUGGAAGAGAAACUGGCCCGGCGACGGCGGUUUGCCAAUCGAGUCUGCAACGACGGCGGUUUAGCAGCUCGGCGAUGACGGUUUGCCAAUCGAGUCUGCAACGACGGCGAUUUAGCAGCUCGGCGGUAUAUCGAUGGGGAGGCGCGGAGGCAGAGCGUCGAGGCGGUAGCAGUCGCAGAGGCUCCGGCAGCAAGGCCACGAAGAAAACCGGUCGACAGUGGCCGCCCGACGCGGCAGCAGUCGCCGAGGCGCCGGCAGCAAGGCCACGAAGAAAACCGGUCGACGGUGGCCGCCCGACGCGGCAGCAGUCGCCGAGGCGCCGGCAGGAAGGCCACGAAGAAAACCGGUCGACGGUGGCCGCCCGACGCGGCAGCAGUCGCCGAGGCGCCGGCAGCAAGGCCACGAAGAAAGCCGGUCGACGGUGGCCGCCCGAGGCGGCGGAACGAGUUACAGACAUAUGA